UCCAGCUGUGACAGAAGGUGUGCACGUCUAUGACAGUUCUGGAACUGAGCUUGAUGACGAUGUUUUUGAGGAUGUGGUAAAGGAUCCUCAAACUGGUGUUCUGACCAUCACAUAUGAUACUGGGAAUGCUGAGACUGUCGCUUCUCCUGGGCCACGUGCUUCUACAUCCAGCAGUUGUGACUGCCAGGACACAAUCAUCCUUCCUGUUAGUUCUGCUUCAAGGCAUCAGUGAUUGGGCGACAAGGCUAAGCAUGUAUGACUUGAGUGAAGUUGGUGAAAGACAUUCUUUCCAAAAAGCCUUAGGGCUAGGUUAAUGCAGUACAAUCGAACAAAGUCUUUGGCAGUUGACACCUGGAAAAAAAUGGGGAACAUUCUUGCUGCUGAUAAAAAUGGUAUAUCUCCACUCAGACAAGUGAAAGAAAAAUAUAGGGAUAAUAAAAGGAUUGUGAACUUGUUCCCCCAUCUCUGGGACCCCUUCUCAGAAAAUGGACAUGAGCAUUAUUAUGAUGGUAGAAGUGACAGGGACUACUUGACCUGGAGGCUUAAAUACAUUCAAAGAUGCAAUGCUCAAGAAAGAAGAUCAAUUGAAGUCUUCUCCACUGACUGAAUGAGCGGUAAAGAACUUUUGGGAGGACCAACUGCCAUAUGGGAGUCCCAGUAUCUUCCAGAGGCACCAGUGACUGAAGAAGAAUAUCGAGAGGCCAUGUCACUGAUGAGACACUCCGCUGAUGAAAACACAGUGAAGAAGAAAAUGAAGCAAAAUUUUGCUCAUUGUCAAAGCAUGGUCCUGGACCCCCAGUUGUCAAGCAGCAUACUGUCACACUUGCCUCGAUUCAAAGACAUCAAA